UGUUGUUCGGAUAGGAUUUGGGAUUUAGACAGUUCAAUCUGGUAAACACGUGAAACUAUUAUUCACAUUGACAUCGAUUCAUUAGCCUUAUUUGCUAAACAUGGGAGCAAAGGAUAUAGCAAAAGCACUAUGGAAAAAUCCAUUGGUUUGGAAAGUUGCAAAGAGCUGGGGAUUUUUUGUUGUGGUCAUCCUGGUUGCUAAUGAAAUGUCAGCGGCUGAUGCGGCUAAUGUAGCUGAAAUUACAGGAAAUGUCGCAAACGCAAGUUGAUUACAAACGAGGAUUAAAAAGUUGUGAGAGAGAAGAUAUAGACUGUGUAGAACAGGAGUUGAAUGGACAGUAUACAAUUAUAACAUGACUUAAGUCAUUCUGUUUGUACAUGUCUGCGGCAGACUAUCUGUCCACUUGUCCUGUACGUUUUAAGUAUGUAAAUAAGAAUGAACUAUUUGUUUGUCAUAUUUUAUAAUACUAUUAAAUUAAGUAACAUGGAU